UAUCGAAUAAACUUGAACAGGCUGUUGCUGGCCCCUAGGGGAAUGUGCACGCUUGUCAUUUUUAUCUUCUCCACCUUGUGCACACAUUGUAGAUCUUGGAACUUUGAUUGUUUGUUAUAACAGAUUAGAGAACUGCUGUGCUUCUUUGAAGUCAGCUUUUGUCUGGCAUUUUUCAAGGUCUAUGUUUAUUUUUCACAAAACCUGUCAGAAUGUGUUGGAAUGUACAUAUAUAAAAUAUACAACUUUCAGCAACGGAUCUCUUGGCUCUCGCAUCGAUGAAGAACGCAGCGAAAUGCGAUAAGUAAUGUGAAUUGCAGAAUUCAGUGAAUCAUCGAAUCUUUGAACGCAUCUUGCGCUCCUUGGUAUUCUGAGGAGCAUGCCUGUUUGAGUGUCAUUAAAUUCUCAACCACAUAGAAAUGUGGCUUUGGAUGUUGGGGGUUUUAUUUGCUGGUCCUUUAGAAAUGAAGUUCAGCUCCCCUGAAAUGAAUUAGUGGUGGUAAAUCAAAGUCUUCUACCACAGGUGUGAUAAUUAUCUACGCCUUGGUGUAAAAAAGACACUGCUUCUAACUAAUAUUGACAAACUUGACCUC
rnacentral:misc_RNA from 1 species